rnacentral:tRNA from 1 species
GAGGAGGUGGCCGAGUGGUUAAGAGACGCUGGAUUAUUAAUCCAUUGUGCUCUAGAAGAGUGGGUUUGAUCCCAUCCUCAUCA